AUACGGAGGGUGCAAGCGUUAUCCGGAUUUAUUGGGUUUAAAGGGUGCGUAGGCGGUUUGAUAAGUCAGCGGUGAAAUAUUUCAGCUUAACUGGAAGGGUGCCGUUGAUACUGUCGAGCUUGAAUUUAGUUGCUGUGGGUGGAAUGUGUGGUGUAGCGGUGAAAUGCAUAGAUAUCACACAGAAUAUCGAUUGCGAAGGCAGCUCACAAAGCUAAUAUUGACGCUGAUGCACGAAAGUGUGGGGAUCAAACAGGAUUAGAUACCCUGGUAGUCCACACUGUAAACGAUGAUAACUCGCUGUCGGCGAUACAUAGUCGGUGGCCAAGCGAAAGCGAUAAGUUAUCCACCUGGGGAGUACGACCGCAAGGUUGAAACUCAAAUGAAUUGACGGG
rnacentral:rRNA from 1 species